rnacentral:rRNA from 1 species
GACGUAGGGCGCGAGCGUUGUCCGGAUUUAUUGGGCGUAAAGAGCUCGUAGGCGGCUUGUCGCGUCGUUCGUGAAAACCCGGGGCUCAACUCCGGGCUUGCGGGCGAUACGGGCAGGCUAGAGUUCGGUAGGGGAGACUGGAAUUCCUGGUGUAGCGGUGAAAAUGCGCAGAUAUCAGGAGGAACACCGGUGGCGAAGGCGGGUCUCUGGGCCGAUACUGACGCUGAGGAGCGAAAGCGUGGGGGAGCGAACAGG